GCUGAAUGUGGGGAUAAUUUAUCUCCGUGUUGUAGCUAACGCGUUAAGCACUCCGCCUGGGGACUACGGUCGCAAGACUAAAACUCAAAGGAAUUGACGGGGACCCGCACAAGCGGUGGAACAUGUGGUUUAAUUCGAUGCAACGCGAAAAACCUUACCACUCCUUGACAUGGAGAUUAGAUCCUUCUUAACAGAAGGGCGCAGUUCGGCUGGAUCUCGCACAGGUGCUGCAUGGCUGUCGUCAGCUCGUGUCGUGAGAUGUUGGGUUAAGUCCCGCAACGAGCGUAACCCUCAUCCUUAGUUGCCAGCGGGUAAGCCGGGCACUUUAAGGAAACUGCCGGUGGUAAACCGGAGGAAGGUGGGGAUGAUGUCAAGUCAGCACGGCCCUUAUGGGGUGGGCUACACACGUGCUACAAUGGUGACUACAAUAGGUUGCAAUGUCGCAAGGCUGAGCUAAUCCGUAAAAGUCAUCUCAGUUCGGAUUGUCCUCUGCAACUCGAGGGCAUGAAGUCGGAAUCGCUAGUAAUCGUGGAUCAGCAUGCCACGGUGAAUACGUUCUCGGGUCUUGUACACACUGCCCGUCACGCCAUGGGAAUUGGCUUAACUCGAAGCUGGUGCGCUAACCGAAAGGAAGCAGCCAU
rnacentral:rRNA from 1 species